GGGGCGCAGCCGACCACGGUUGGGGUCAGCGACUGGGGUGAAGUCGGUAACAAGGUAGCCCUAAGGGAACCUGCGGCUGGAUCACCCUCCUUU
rnacentral:rRNA from 1 species